UGAAGAGUCCCAAUCAAAAUCCAGAGAGAAAGAGACCCAACCCACCAAGAUCAGCUGAAAAUCCAGCUGUUUGAAAGCUGGGGUUGGAUGCUCAGCUGGUGCAGAUCUGCGGUCUUCCAUCCACGGCAAUGGAGCUACUCCCCUUCACGCCAGCAGACGAUGUAGCCUUGAUUUCUUAUCCUGCAGUUCCUGGAUCCGCGACUCCAGCUGAGACAAACUGGCGCUCGGUUUCUGCAAGCCUUCCAAGCUGGCCAGUCGGCUUUUCAGGUCUUUGUUCUGAUGGGAGAAAUUACACCUGAUUAGUCACCCAAGAAACCAACAGCCAGCAGCAGAGUGAGAAAGUUGGCCUUAUAAACAAACAGAGAAAGAACGGAGCGUUAUGUAAACCUCGGCAGUGAGUCAAGCUCUGCGAAAUCCCUUUCACAAAUAGGAAGCUUAAUGCGUAGGGUUAUAUAAUGGCAAUCAUUUUUCCUGCAUUAAAAAUGUUCCCAACUGAGCGUAGUUUAAAGCUGUGUGUGGAAUUCAAGCGCUCAAAACAGGUGAAGACAGUUCUCCCGCUCUGCAAAGCCAAUGCUGUCAGAACAUGCUGACUGGGGAUCACAGGCCAGGGAAUAGCUUACAUCUCCAUUUAGGCUCUUCCUCCCAAUGCUCCAUCACAAUCAGCAGGAAAAACCGCACACCUCCCCCACAGAAUGGAGUUUACCUGCCCACAGUCCUGUACGGAUACAGGUUUAGCAGCAAGCCAAAGCUCUCCUGGCGGGGACACAAUCCAGUGCAGAACUCAGAUAUUAAUGACCAGUGUAUUUAAUAGCUUCCUCAGCCCAAAGAGCUAAAUUUGCCAGCUUCACCUCCUUCCCUAAGAGCCAUCAGAGCUCCUCUAGCCUGCUCCACACGAAGCGACAGCAGAGACAACGCCAAUAUUAAACACGCCUCGGUAACUGGCAACGUCCAGGAGGGAGAAAUAAGGCUGAAAACUUUUGAAGAAUGAGCUCGAUGCACUGCAGGGAACUUUGUGACUUUUUGCACUACCUGAAGUCAGCAGCUCAAGCCGAGUGUUGUUUUGUCCCUGUUAAUUACAUGCAGAGAACAAGAACAGCUUGAAGGAUUUGCUUUUUUGAGCCAGCACACGCUUGUGUAGCAGAGCAUUUGGCAACACAAGUCUGGGCAGGUAGCUGCUGCAUGUUUACAGCAGUCCAGGCUGUAGUUUACCACCACGUUUUUUAAAGAACUUUGGAAUUAAGAGCCUAUCUACGAAUUAAGGUGCAUCGCGGCAGGGAAAGCUGUCUAGGAGGCAUCGGCGCGAUUUCGUCUUAAGUCGCCCGGUUCCUCUAAAGCACGGGUCAAUGAGUUCUGGGGCUCCAAAUGGAUUUGAACCAUGAGUCAGUUUGGGUCUGCAGAUAGACCCUGAAGAUGUGGGCCUUGUAGUAAGAUGAAGCCCUGAAACAUAAACCCUUACAUCAGAGGCCCGGUAUGAGGCCUGAGGCCUAAGGCCUGAACUAAAGUAAUGGUCAAGACUUUGCUAAUAUAAAGCAAAGUUAAGCUGCGAGCCGGAGGCAGGCCCGGCUCACAGAAGCUGGCAAGGAAAGGGCUGAUGUUGCAAAAAUACACAAACCUACAAGGCACUGGAUGCUAGAGAGAUAAACAUAUGCUAGGACGGUACCAGAACACUCCGAUACUUGCACAUUCCACACAGAUAACAAGGAACAGGUUGACUCAUCCUAAAGACAAGGGCAAAAGAAUACUAUGAUGGAUAGAGUUGUUUUGUUCGAACCAACAUGAACAAGGUGAGAGGCGGCACCUUACUGCAUAGAGGGGUUGUACCUUGCUACGUAGAAGGGUUGCACCUCAAUGCGUCAGGAGUGAUGUGUAACUUGUUUGUACCCGUGUAUCAGAAUGCACCCCUGAGGGGCUGUCUUUGUCCGGCCUAGGGGGCAGUGGAGUGUCCCACCACGGACUAGCUGGUUCAUUGUCGGGGGCUCAUAUUCGUACUAUGUCCUGUAGUGUCUGUGGGGAACCAUUCCUGUGCUUCAUUUGACAAUAAACCUGGCCGGGUGUCUUGGUACCUUA